UACAGAGGGUGCGAGCGUUAAUCGGAAUUACUGGGCGUAAAGCGCGCGUAGGCGGCUUUGCAAGUCGGGUGUGAAAUCCCCAGGCUUAACCUGGGAACUGCUCUCGAGACUGCAUCGCUAGAGUAUGGGAGAGGGAAGUGGAAUUUCAGGUGUAGCGGUGAAAUGCGUAGAUAUCUGAAGGAACAUCAGUGGCGAAAGCGACUUCCUGGACCAAUACUGACGCUCAUGUGCGAAAGCGUGGGGAGCAAACAGG
rnacentral:rRNA from 1 species